rnacentral:rRNA from 1 species
GACGAACGCUGGCGGCGUGCUUAACACAUGCAAGUGGAGCGACGAACCAGGGCUUGCCCUGGGGCAAAGCCGCGAACGGGUGAGUAACACGUGGGUAACCUGCCCUGAUGAUUGGGACAACCCGAGGAAACUCGGGCUAAUACCAAAUGUGCUCUUCGGUCAUAAGGCCGUCGAGGAAAGGUAGCUUCGGCUUCCGCAUCAGGAUGGGCCCGCGGCCCAUUAGCUUGUUGGUGGGUAACGGCCUACCAAGGCUUCGAUGGGUAGCUGGUCUGAGAGGACGAUCAGCCACACUGGGACUGAGACACGGCCCAGACACCUACGGGUGGCUG